UAGCAUUUUUGUUUUUAUUUGACAAAUAUUGCCUAAUUAUGGUGUAACUAGGCUUAAAAGAUUUGUCUCGUGAUUUACAGGUAAACUGUACAAUUAGUUAUUCUUUUUAUCUAUAUUUAAUACUUCAUACAUAUGCCGUAAGAUUCGAUGUGACGGGGAAUCUUGUAAAGUUUUGGGUUUUUGAGUGUAUCUAAACAAGGCCUUAAUGUUCGUCGCUAGAAGCUCAUGCAUGUCAUGCUGAACGUUUGUGAUGUUACAGUGUUUUACCAGCAUCGGCUGUGAUAGCUUUGUCAGCUUCGACUACGUACACUGUGGGUAGUCUUCUAAGCCAAGGGUAUGGGAACUGUCUAUGCAAGUACCUUAAAUAUUAUUGUUUGCACAUGAUUUGACUGGGAAUGCCUGCCUCCUUAUUUUGUUUUCUCCCUAGGUGAAUAAUGCACUUGCCUUAACCUAGCAGAUGUCAAAUGCAUGCCUUUUAAUUUUCUCAGGGGUGGAACAAUAACUGAUAUUUCUUUAAUAUGGUAGAUAAGAUGGUACCAAUAUGAAGUAAAAGAUACAAACAAAAUAUUAAUAUGAUUCUGUUUGUGGUUAAAUGAACAUAGGGCCGGCAGGCUAUAAAUCUGUAGAAACUUUCUUACUUUCUUGCAAUGGUCAAAACAUGGGAGCAGAGAGACUGAAACAACAAAAGUAGAGAAAAUUAUGAAAAAUGGAGUUGAGUUCUAAUCUUCUACUUGUAUGACUCUUCCUAUAUCUCCAACAUAAGAUACCCAAUUUUCCCUGUUCUAUUGUGCAUACCAUCUUUUAUUUUUUUAAAAAACUCUUUUGUGUGUUAGGUUAUGGCUGCAUGAAAAAAGGAUAGUAAUGAGAGGUGCCAGGACAUUCAACUGAUUGUCUGGAUUGCUGAGAAUCAGUCUCUUGUUGCUUCUAGGACAUCUGGCUAUGUUUUUUUCGAGUGCACUCUUGUACUUUGUUGUGACACUGUGCUCACAGUUCACCAAAUCAGUGAACUAGCCAUGGUAACUUAAACCAUUGUUCUAGAAGAAAUGAAACCGUGGCACAUAAGCCAUUGUCAGCAGCACUGCCAUGAAUCUGUUAUGUUAUUGUUAGCACAUGAUUUGACUACGUACGCUUGCCUCCUUGUUUUAUUUACAUUUUUCUGAGGUGAAUAAUAAUGCACAUGCUUAGCCUAGUAGACGCUUGAGUGCCUUUUAAAUUUCACUCAAGGUGGGAACAAUAAGUGACAUUUCUUUGAGAUAUGGUAGAAGGUAUACAAUAUGAAGUAAAGGGAGAAUCAAAAUAAUAAUAUGAUAUGAUUCUUACCAUGGUUAAAUGAUCAAGGGUAUAUAUAAACUUUCUUGCUUUCUUACAAUGGUCGAGACAUGUGAACAGAGAGACUGAAAGAAGAAGAGGUAGAGAAAGUCUGGAAAAAGGGUGUUGGGUUCUGCUAGUACUAUAAUUUUGUAUGUCUCUUCCCCUGCUCUAUGGUGCAUACAUCUUUUUCUUUUCUUAAACAGUGUUUAGUGUUAGGUUGUGGCUAAUGGGAGGUGCCAGGACAUUCAGCUAAUUGUGUAGGUUGCUGAGAUUCCAUCACUUGUUCCUUAGGGACUUUUGGUGACGCUCUCUCUAGAGCUGUGCCCUCAUGUUCUGGUACUCAUUUUAUUCUUAGGAUUAAGCAGACCAUAGCCUUGUACAAUUGUUGGGAAAUGCGAUCUGAACCUCCUAACGACACGUCGAUGGAAAGGCCAGCUCACGUGCGGCGAUGAGUGACCCGGAAGAUUGACCAAUGCACUCCCGGUCUAGGGAUGGUGGGUGUAGCAGUAAAUGACUUUCAAUUCUCUUUCUUAAGAGCAGUUACAUUCCCUUUAUAUAGGGCACGGAUGUCGACCUAGGCCUAUUACAAAAACACCCCGUGGGCGAGGGAAUAUCCUGGCAUAUUCUUUCGCUGUGGUCUGCCAACCGCGGGGUAAUUUAAGUAAUCUCGAACCGCGAGCUCCACGUGCGCCGCCCGCUUGGGACUCAAGCUUGCGCAGGACUCAAUCCUCUGGUCGGCCGCCGAUCCUUCGACUCAGAAGCGCCAAAGGUUCUUCGCCGACACCGUGAGCCCCGCGACGUCCUUGGACGCCCUUCAGCCCAUCCUCCACCACGGGAGGAUCCGAAGGACCCCUCCUUCGUUCCCGUGAUCUCCGCCGUCAGCUUGGCUCCUACAUUCACAACACAUCACACGAGACGCGUUAUUGUUAACUUCGCCCGGAACCUUUGUAUUCUAUCAUCCGAAGGUCCGGGGGACGGAGGUUUUCGACGAUGGCAGGUCUCUGAUGCGGCCAUGUAGGGGAAGGUAAGGUUAAGCCCCCAACAACAAUUUUUGGUUCUCCAAAAAAGAUUCACAUGAAAACAGAAAUGUGACUUGGUGAGAAAUUAUGAAAUUGUGUGGGUGCUAAUGCACUUAUUAUUUUUAUGUAUGUCAUUUUUGCACCUAUAAUCUGGGCCAUCAAGGUUUUGUCAAUGGAUUCACAGCUAUAUUAAAUCUGGCACCAAACAGGUGAGCAGAGGGCAUCUUCGAUAAGCUACCGCACCAGUUAACAUGAUCUAGAGUAUCUGGAAUUUGUUGUUCCAGCCGCCCUCUCUAUACAACAUUUUUCUUUGUGUACUCUUGCUCUGCUUGUUUUAGCACCUGAGUUACGUGGAACCUAAAAGAACAUAGUUGCAUGUCGCUCUCUCUCAAGGAAAGCAACAGCAGCUUGUUGAGCCCAGCAGCAUAGGCGAAUGCCAAGGGGUCACUGAGGCGCACCAUGACACCCGGCCCACCACACCAUCAGCUUCGUGCUUAAUUAAAUAUUGUUCGGCUUCUCUAGAUGUUGUUUGUCAUCUUGAUCGAUUGUUAAACGGGAUCUGGGCAGCCGUUAUCGGAGCCACAGGUUCCCAGCAACCAGCUAGAGUGAUGAAAACAACCUAUCUUAGUUGCUGUGUUUAAGCUGGCUGUAAACUUACAACCUGCUUCUCUCUUUUCUUCUCUACUCCAUCUCAGCAUUUAGCCGGCUUACAACCCAUUAUAAUACUUGUUCUUACAUAAUCUGUUACUCUGCAAUAAGCGAGGAGAGGUGUAUAUAUCAAAGUGGAAGCAGGGUAUCCUCACUGUAGCCUCUCCAGCAGUAUCUUGUAUUCAGCGGUGAUUCCAUCACCCCCAUUCUGAUGAGACAUUGAUUAAACCCCCUGUUAUGUACUCCCUUCGUCCCAAAAUAAGUGUCGUUUGCGUUUUUUGAGAAAUAACUUUGAUUAAAUAUAUAUUAAAAAAUAUUAAUAUUUAUAGUACAUAAAUAGUAUAAUUGAAAAGAUCUUUGAGUCUAGUUUUUUAAUAAAUUUAUUUGAAGAUGCAAAUAUUGCAUGUAUUUUUCAUAAAUAUGGUCAAACUUGUGGCACAAAAAACUAAAACGAUACUCUUUUUGGGACAGAGAGAGUAGUAGUGACUUGAAAAGGUAUUGUGUCUGCUAGUAACAGUUUCCCCAUCUUGUGACAUGAUACUCAUGCCAGUAGCCUAUCGGUUGAUGACUAGCCGGCACUGCAUAUAUAAGGGCCACCAAGGACGUCGGAGAAUGAUGGGUGGCUGCUGCUCCAGGGUGCUGGGUGUUGUAAGCGAGGAUGAUAGCAGCUGGAGCCGAAGUGAUUCAUUUCACCAGACCCAAGCUUGUAUGCCGAGGAAAAAACAGAUGGGGCGACAAUAAACUGAUCGAUUGGGAGAAAUGACGUUUGUAACGGUCUCACCCUAUAGCAUUGGUGGAUAACUACGCCACUACAUGAGGAUGUAAAAAAACUCUUUUUAUUCGUCAGUGUUUUAAAUAGACAGGUAAGACAUACUGAAAAUCAUAGAGUGGAGUCAUCCAAGACAGGCCUAAGAUUACAGAAUUUGUUACUCUGCAAUAAGGCUACUCUGCAAUAAGCGAGGAGGUGUAUAUAUCAAAGUGGAAGCAGUGUUAUAACCUCACUGUAGCCUCUCCAGCCCUUUUCUGGUAUCCAUUGUUAUAGUCUCUUCAGAAUGGGGGUGAUGGAAUCACCGCACAGUACAAGAUACUAUAACAAUAGGGUGGGGCAGCUAACCCAAAACCACAAGCGCUGGCGAGAUCCCAUCAUCGUCCUCGUCCCUAAUCCCUUGUCUAUGGUGGUGUUUCUGCUGAGUCAUAGUUAAUAGGGCUUUGCUAUGGUACACCUUUUACCUUGGAGGAGGUAAGAUAUCAAAAAAUCACAACCAUUGAUUUUUCAAAAUAAAUAGAACAAUUUAAUAAAUUAAUAGUGAUAAAAUAGUAAAGUAAGCCACAAAAUCUCAAACAUAUCCCCACGUAGACUAUCUUCCUUGUUUGGUACGGUUCUGCGUGCAGUACAUUUUUUUAAAGUAAAAAUAUGGACACAUCAUCUUCAUAAAAAUAUGUUAUGUGCUGCUAAAAUUAAAAAAUGUUGAAUAUAUGUAAUCAAUUCAACUAUCACUCUAUCACGUACAUGUCAUGAUAUAUACAUAUUAGUUUGUCACAUUAUAGAAGUUAUAAAUUUAUACUCCAAUAGAUACAUAUUACCUAUAAUACCUUGAAAUAGCUUUACAACAUUCUACAAUAAAAAUUAUAAUAGAGAAAUACAAAGAACUAUAUAUGUAUUAGUUCUAUCUACAAAUCACCGUCUUGUAUAAAUAAAAUAAAAUAAAAUAAAAUAAAAUAAAAUACGGCUACACAAGCGUGCGUCCCAUCCCAAUACUAUGCAUGUGUGUGUCUAUGCGCAUGUUAUAAAAUACGUACUAGUCAUGUUAGGAAAGUUAGAUCAUGCAUGCAUAUUACAUCUAAUAGAAAGAUAUUUUUCUUAUAUAACUAUUACCUCUUAGGAGGUAAUACGUGAUAAUUGCUAUUUAGAUCGAUGGUCCACAGUUAUUUGAGUGUACCAUAGCAAAUUUCUAGUUAAUAUCGACCGUCAAUGUAAUACCCGAUUUUAAGGAUAAAACCAGAUAUACACCAUAUGUGAGUCUUAGAAGUCAAAUCUCACAUAUAGCUACAAAUAAGGGGUAAUAUCAAAAGACAAUGCAUAAAUAUAUAACGUACUUAGUAUAAAAGAUAUAACCUUUGAUAUCAAACAGCGGACAGACAACUCCAAACUUCGGGUAUUAACUUCCCUCUACAGGAUCCAACUGACUGGUUGGUCACAAGCCCAAAACUUCUCCUGAGGUGUGGGGGAAAUAGCAAGAGUGAGUCCAUGUCGAACUCCACAAGUAUAGCAACUAGAUUGUAUAGCUCCCACAAUCUCAUGAUCAAUGUGACAUAAAUAAUGUAAAGCAUUAAACAAUAAUAAUGAGCAUAUUUAACACACAGGAAUCAUCACCCUUAAUGUAGAUGUCCCCAAGGCCGCUCCUGACCGUGAGCUCGGCUAGUAUACUAGUUUUUAACCCUCUGCAGAGGUUGCACAUCUUUACCCAUGAGUCAUGAUUUACCCUUUCGCCCGAGGUAGCUAAUCUCUUAACCCCCUUCCUAGGGAGGUCGGCAGGGAUCACUAUGAAGUCUUUCAAAGGUUUGUCUAACAAGUUAGGGCCGCUUGGUUUCAUUAGUCAGUCCAUGUGAUUCACCCGCAGGAAUCCACGGUCUGCUAUUCCCCAAUUGCGCCACAACGGGUAACCGCUAACGAGCUAGAAAAGUUACUCAUACUUAACUAAAGCCAG
rnacentral:lncRNA from 1 species